UGGGGAAUAUUGCACAAUGGGCGCAAGCCUGAUGCAGCAACGCCGCGUGAGGGAUGACGGCCUUCGGGUUGUAAACCUCUUUUAGCAGGGAAGAAGCGAAAGUGACGGUACCUGCAGAAAAAGCGCCGGCUAACUACGUGCCAGCAGCCGCGGUAAUACGUAGGGCGCAAGCGUUAUCCGGAAUUAUUGGGCGUAAAGAGCUCGUAGGCGGUUUGUCGCGUCUGCUGUGAAAUCCCGAGGCUCAACCUCGGGUCUGCAGUGGGUACGGGCAGACUAGAGUGCGGUAGGGGAGAUUGGAAUUCCUGGUGUAGCGGUGGAAUGCGCAGAUAUCAGGAGGAACACCGAUGGCGAAGGCAGAUCUCUGGGCCGUAACUGACGCUGAGGAGCGAAAGGGUGGGGAGCAAAACAGGCUUAGAUACCCUGGUAGUCCACCCCGUAAACGUUGGGAACUAGUUGUGGGGUCCAUUCCACGGAUUCCGUGACGCAGCUAACGCAUUAAGUUCCCCGCCUGGGGAGUACGGCCGC
rnacentral:rRNA from 1 species